rnacentral:lncRNA from 1 species
GAAGAUCAUAAUAAAGGAAGAAGCGGUAAUAUCCAGGAUUGUAACAGAAAUGACCCUAUAUCAAACAAGGAAAUUAAAAUGCUGAGCAUGUCAUUCGCCUGACAGGUGGCAAGCGCUAGAAGGCAUCUUGAGGUAGGCGAAAAAUCACCAUAAGUAGCAACAAGCUGUGAAGGAACUGCUAAUUAAAGAGUUCAUAUAAAAGAGAAAUUGAAUUAGCAUACCGACAAGAGUGAUUAAAUAUAAAAGAGAGAUGAGUAAUGCUCAAUUGAAGGCAACAAUUAAUUACUAUUGUCACUUGUUUGACAGCAUUUCCGUUGUACAAUCAGAUAAACAUACCAACUACAGAGUAGAGAGAAAGGAAACCGACCGCCGAUCCUUGAGAUCACGCAUGUAAGCAAUUGAAUGAGCCUAGUUCUAUAUCCAUAUGCCCAUGCACCAACCAUAAGCUAAAUGAUUCCAGCUCACAACUCGUCCAACAUGCCGUAAUAGGAACUGGACAUAUACCGCAGAUUUAUUUCCCCAAUCUCUUGUAAUUUUGUAUUUCAUAGCAGACUUAAUCUUCUUUGUCUUUGUUUUCACAGAACACAGUUAACAGGUAAAGUAGCAACACUCCUUGUUGGCCUCUAUCAAGAAGAUGGCAGUGUACAGUCCAUCAGAAACUGCAAGCAGCUGGUCUGAAAAUUAAACAGUGGCAAUGCAAUGGUCAAUAGGUUGCUAUUGAUAUGAAUCAUGAAUGGCAGAAUUCAACAUUACUAGUAACAGAAGUACAUUCACCUCUGUUCAGGGAAUGUUUAGCUUCGGAUGAGGAUGAGGAUGGUAGUUGCAGUUGAAUAAGAAGUCAUUGAGCAAGCCUAGGUGACUCGUCACUCGUCAGGCUGUCAUUGGAAAGAUCAUAAUAAAGGAAGAAACAGUAAUAUCCAGAAUUUUACCAGAAGUGAUCAUAUAUCAAUCAAGGAAAUUAAAAUGCUGAGCAUGUCAUUGGCCUGACUAUAAAGCAUCUUGAGGCAGUCGAAAAUCACCAUAAGUAGCAACAAAAUGUGAAGGAGCUGCUAAUUAAUAUAAAAGAGAAAUUGAAUUGGCGUCGCGACAAGAGUG